ACUACAUCUUCCGUCAUUAGUCCAGUCGUCCAAAUCCUGGACACUGGGAAUCUCGUCUUGUAGGAAGAGGCCUCGGAAGACAAGUUGUGGGAGUCUUUCUCACAUCCUACGGGUGUUCAGGUGCCCGGAAUGCCAUUAAGCCAGAACGUAAGGAAAGGGAAGCAGGUGCUGGUGACGGCAUGGAAAAGCGCCACAGCUUGUCACGUGGGACGAGGGGCGGGCACUGGAACGGCCUGAUAUAUUUAUCGGGAUAAAAGAAAUGUUCUACGCCUACUUAGAUAUGUACUUUCAAGUGAACAAUGAUAGUGCUGGCAAUUUCUUCUACACAAGGCCGCGGAAUGAUGCGCUAUUAACAAUCACCAUGAUUGAUUCUUCAGGAAUUGCGAUUCGGAAGGUGUGGAAUGGCGUGGAGAAGAGAUGGGACACCGGGGGGCGUAUCCUGAAAACGAGUGUGAUUUUUUAUGGAAAGUGUGGGGUGUUUGGUAGCUACAAUGCUCCGGAUUUGCCUAUUUGUAGUUGUUUCAGAGGGUUUGAGCCGGUAAAUGAGGAAGAAUGGGGGAGAGGGAAUUGGACUAAUGGAUGCAGGAGGAGGAACCAGUUGCAAUGUGGAGAAGAUGGAUUUGAGAGGUUGAGGCAUAUGAAGGUUCCUGACUUUCUCCUAAGCCCUCGUAUUCUAGGGUUCAAGAUGAAUGCCGAACUAGAUGUCUCGGGAACUGCUCCUGCAUAGCUUAUGCUUAUGAUGGUAACAUUGGUUGUAUGUUUUGGAGUGACACCUUGAUUGACACUCAGGAGUUUGACGGCGUUGGUGUUGACCUCUACGUUCGUCUGAAUUCGAUAGCCACAAGGAGAGAAAGAUGAACAUCAUAACUGGAGUUGCUGUGGGUUUUGUUUGCAUAUCUAUUAUGAUGUUUAUUGCUUGGUGGUUAGUAGUGAAGAGGAAAGGGAGCAAAGCGCAAGAUUCAAGUAUUCUGGAAGCAGGACAGAUUCAACUGCAAUCGAAGGAAGUUAAUAUUGGCGAUUUGCCAAAGUUCACCUUCGAGAUGCUUGCUAAUGCAACACACCAGUUCCAUGUACAUAAUCUUCUCGGGAGGGUCCUGUUUACAAGCGAGUUUUGGCAAAUGAGAAAGUAAUUGCUGUGGAAAGACUAUCAGCAGAAUCUGGACAAGGAAUGCAAGAAUUCAUGAAUGAAGUGAUUGUCAUUUCCAAACUCCAACACAAGGAUCUUGUCAAAUUGUUGGGAGGUUGUGUUGAGAAAGAAGAGAAGAUUCUGAUAUAUGAAUACAUGCCAAACAAAAGCUUAGACGCUUGUCUCUUUGGUCAUAAGAAUCUCCCAAAGAAGUAAUAUGCGUUCCAGCAUUAUCGAGGGCAUCGGGCGAGGCAUCCUGUACCUUCAUAAAGACUCAAGACUAAGGAUCAUUCACAGAGACCUUAAGCCAAGUAAUGUUCUGCUAGAUCAAGACUGGAAUCCAAAAAUCUCUGAUUUUGGGAUGGCAAGAAUAUUCGGAGGGAAUGAAGACCAUGGCAGUAUUGCAAACAUAGCGUGGAAAAUGUGGAGUGAGGGUAACGGUUUGAGUUUCGUGGAGGAAGGCAUCGCAAGUAGGGAGACGGAGGAAGAGAUAGUUCGAAGCAUUCAGAUAGGGCUGCUUUGUGUCCAAAAAUAUCCCAAGGAUAGACCUUCCGUUGAAGUCGUGCUGUCGAUGCUGAGUCGUGAUAUUAUGGAGCUGCCAGUGCCCAAGCAGCCCGUGUUUGCGGAAAAUGGUUCGACACCAGGCCCCAAUGGAUCUACUCCAGUAACGAGCUCACUGUUAGUGUGCUUGAUAGACGAUGAAUUUAUUUCCU